GGGAGGAGCUCCGCCCAGAAAGCUUUUCAGCUCCUCGGAGAACGCUGAGUUGUCUUCUUCUCUGAAACUGGAUUUUGUCUCCCUCAUAAUCAAAGGAGCUCACUCAUGGUGAGGAAACUGCUUAUGGCCUGUUAUCCAAGACUCAGCAUAACUAGAUACUUGGAACUGAAGAGAAGAAAUUUUGUGAAGCAUUUCUACAGUAAGCUUGACAGCUGGAAAAAUAUUGAUCGAGAUUCUCCAGACCCCCAUCACAUCCAAGAAAAUGUCAUCUGUGGCAACAUGAAGUUAUCCACAAAGGAAAUGGCUCUAUAAGAAAAUGGAGGCUCCUCCAAGGAUGGCAUCGUCUCCCUAUAGCUCCUUUGCUCCCCCACAGACAAGGGCCAUGGAGAGGAAGGGCCCUGCUGUCUUCUUCAACAAGUGAAUUCUGAAAACUGGGGAAUUCUCAGAAUGGGAAAUUCUUAAAACAUUUGCAUUUCCAAUAACUGACCCAUUUGUAGUAUGGAAAAUUCUUUCCCAUUCUCUAUAACAAAUGUGGCCUACUGAAAUGACACAAUCUGCUUAAAAUCUUGUAAUACUUUGCUCAUUUCUUGCCCACUUUGCCAAGCCCAUCAACCUCUCAUAUGUUUGCCAUUUUCUCUUGGAAAUCGGCCCUGCCUGAGACACCCUGGCCACAUUCAGAACCGCCUCUCUGCAUGCCUGCAGGAUUUGAAUGGAGUACCUCGCAGACAGUACACUUCCCCUGAUCUGUCGGGGAUGCACAAAGCUUCUCUGAGAAAUUGUCUCCAGCUUUCUGAAAAUAGUUUGGCUUCCCCCCCCCCCAAAUUCUUCAACAGAUCUUCUUCAAAUCCCAGCUCGGAAGUCAACUGCAAUGAGUGAGAAAGAACCUUUUUCCUCCCAGGAAGAUGUGGUGGGGACGGUAUUGAGUAGUUCAGACAUUCUGGCCAGGAGAGCAUCUUGAAAGCUGCAGCUCCCUGAUGACGUGGAUGUCAUUGCCCAUAAAGAAUAUUCCGUGAAGAACAGCUGCACACCAAGGCAAGCAUUACUCACCAAGGAUCUCCUCCUCGUUUAUUUGUUGUGAAUGACUGAAGACUCCAACCUGCUUUUGCCAAGUGUCUGUCAGCAGAAUUGGAGUUCUGCUCAAAAUCUGAGUUUAGAAUCCACAAGAGUUUAAUUCCUGCUCUAAACUACAAUUCUGAUAUAUAUGUGGGAACUUGCAAAAGCAAAUGUAAUGAGAUGCUCUGAAUCCAGAGAAAUAACUAAAAUUCUACAGAGCAGACGUCUCCAAGUUUGGCUGUGUACCCUUGCUGUACCAGUAACAAAAGAAUGCUCCCCAAUGUGCUUAUUUGUAGAUUAUAGACAUGGAGAAGCAUUCAAAUGUGUUAUGCAUAUUAUAGGUCUAGUCUACAUAUUAUGUAUUGGUGUAGCUGAAUUUCUUAUUUUACAUAUCAAGCUAAACUUAAAUAGAUACUGUAAUAUUUCCAUCCAUAGCCAAGUGGUCCAUCCUGUUCCUCAAUCUGGAGAUCACUAGCAUUAGCAUCUCCUCUGCUGGAUGCUUUAUUGAGUCCAAUGACCUGAUUCCAAUCUCAAUGUA